rnacentral:rRNA from 1 species
AUUGAACGCUGGCGGCAGGCCUAACACAUGCAAGUCGAGCGGAUGAAGGGAGCUUGCUCCUGGAUUCAGCGGCGGACGGGUGAGUAAUGCCUAGGAAUCUGCCUGGUAGUGGGGGAUAACGUCCGGAAACGGGCGCUAAUACCGCAUACGUCCUGAGGGAGAAAGUGGGGGAUCUUCGGACCUCACGCUAUCAGAUGAGCCUAGGUCGGAUUAGCUAGUUGGUGGGGUAAAGGCCUACCAAGGCGACGAUCCGUAACUGGUCUGAGAGGAUGAUCAGUCACACUGGAACUGGGACACGGUCCAGACUCCUACGGGAGGCAGCAGUGGGGAAUAGUGGACAAUGGGCGAAAGCCUGAUCCAGCCAUGCCGCGUGUGUGAAGAAGGUCUUCGGAUUGUAAAGCACUUUAAGUUGGGAGGAAGGGCAGUAAGUUAAUACCUUGCUGUUUUGACGUUACCAACAGAAUAAGCACCGGCUAACUUCGUG